ACUUGCGAACCACGACGACACUGGUAGAAAUCCUGGGCUCUUUCAUGUCUCAAGUCAAGAGUUCUUACAUCCAAGCACAGAGCUCGGCGCUAGAUCUCGAGCAUCCCGGCACCGAUUUCUGGGUGGCCGCGGUUGCGCUCCCCGGCUCACUCAUCGCGGUCGUAGCUGCGGCGCAGCCUUUCAUCAACUUCCAGCUCACGUUCUUCCGAAACUUGGUGAGAUCACAGGGCUGGAAAACGGCACUUCUGUGUGUCAGUAACUCCGUGCUCGCUCUCGGCUCGUACUCGGCGAUCAUCACCGUGACUCCAACCGAGAUCCAGAGGCAGGAGAAACUGAGGACCUGGGGAUUGCUUGCAGACCAGGUUCCAAUCACGACCCGUGGGCUCCAAGUUUUGGUAGUGGUCAAGGGGGAAUCAAGUUACAGAUCGGACAGCCUCUUGCUUGUGUGGUGUUCCACUGCCGUGCUUGUUCCUGUCAUCGCCUGGAUGACGUUUUACAGGUGCAAACAAGUGUUUUACGUGAGGAGGAUGCUCAAACUCUUGGCUGAGCUGGAGCCUGAACGCCACGACGCCGACGAAAGCAAUGACGAGAGACUUGAUGACCUGCGAGCCAUUGAGAUGGGUUCCGUGGAGCAGCAGCAACUCGAGAAGAGGCUUGCAAAGAUGAACGCCAUGCCUGGGACGAGCAUGGUGACAUCUGUUAAAUCACUGGCUCGCCAAAGACAAUCCUUAACACGUAGGACGAGAUCUAACUUGUAGAAUAUUCUUCAAGCUCCUACCCUCUCGAAAUUCUUUGAACGGCUUCUACAACUGCUGUGGAAUCUGCUAACCACCAACUGAAUGUGGUAUUUGCUGGUACGACUGUUGAACUAGAACUUUUGACUUCAGAAAAACAAAUGCAUUUUCAUCAAAAAAAAUUCCAAGGCCACUACAUUUGCUGGGCAGUACGAAUUAUAAUUUCUCAGAUUGUGCCACUGUGCCAUGCUCAACGGCAUGGCUGUAUUUUUUUUACUUCAAAAUUGAGUUUUCUUACUUCAAAAUUGAUUUUUCUCUCUUCAGAUCUGAUUAUCUUCCCUAAAAAAUUAAUUUCUCAUUAGGGUGAUGGCUUUCCCUUUCCCCUCGCCGCCGCCGCCGCCACAUGAAGUGGGAUUGGAGGAGGCAACGUUAAUCAAAAGGGGAAGAGCUUUCAGGCCCGUGCCAGGGGAUCUAGCUAAUGUAGGGGCGUUUGCAACAUGGGUCCAGGAAAAUCUCCCCUUGGUGCAUGCCAUUCUUGGCCCCUUGCAAUGAUCCGCUUCCUCGUGAGUUCGCUUUGAAGCUCGCCCAGUUGAAGGUAAGGGUUUGUUUGUGCUGGUUGGCUGGUUGCUGUGUGCCUUCUUUGCUGACUAUCUUAUGAUACAGUGCCCCAAGUGCCUCAGGAGGGGCUACCGAAUUUGGUGCCCUUCUCGGAUGUGGUUUGCGACUUCACGCUUCCGUUCAGAGGUCGAGACGGCCUUGUGCAGAAGCUUGCAGAGACGAUUGACGACCUUCACAACUUUCGCAUCUACUGGGAUUAACAGAGAGCAGGCGGAAGACUCGAUUCCUUUUAGAGACUGGAGAGGCGCUUAAAGGCAAUUUGUAAUUUCAAAACCAAGAAAAUAAUUCAUUUGUCUUUGAAUUCAAUUUAUUUCUUCUCCAAAAAAGACUUUGCAGGCACCUCCCUGUCAAUUGUUGCUAACUAGCUUUGCAUGCUUGCUUACUUGCUUCUGCUGAUGCUGCACACGUCCAGAAUUAUAGCCUUGUCCACCACUGUUGGAGUCUAGGAAAAUUUACCAUUGGUCAUUUUUACCCCUUGUGGCUGGAUGAAGAUUGUCCAGUUGCAAGGGCGCAAUGAUGUGCUUCCUCAUGAGUUUGCUAUCCAUUUGCGUGAAGCCAGAUUGUCCAGUUGCCAUGUAUCAUCGUUGGUGUCCCAUUUUGACUCACCAUCUCUUUGAUAUAGUCCCACAUAGUACACGUCUUUCCCUUGAGAUUGGAUGUAUAAAUCCAGAAGCAGUACCUCAAAUCUUUGCUUGCAUCUGGUAUGAUUCACUAUCAUGACAAAGAAGCAAAAGUUUGUGUCACUAGCUACUAUCUUGGCGAUCAUAUUGACCAUGGUUGAUCUCCAAGCGAGAGCUUCAAUCUCAGUUCACAAGGGCGACCUUGCGGCUCUCUCAUGCUUCAGCGCCAUCUUGAGCAUGAAUGGCGACGCCUCGCACAAAUGCAACUGGUGGCAGUUCCUCCAGUACUUGCAAUCCAGCAGCGACCAGGCCUUCCUGGGGUACAUGGUCUCCAACUUCACUGGCCAGAGCAAUCUCACAGCGGAGAUCCGCGAGAAAGGGGGACUCCUGUCCACCAGGAACGCUUCCCUCAUGGAAUUCCACUCGGUCUCCAAGAUCAAUAAGCUGGGAAGCAUGGAGAUCACGAUGUGGGCUUUGGGAUUCCUCUGCCUGGAUGAGGCUCCAAGCUGCGUCAAGUUCACACCCGUGGUGCUCCAAGCGAUCCCUGGUUCUUCCCCAAGCAAGUUGGGGUUUUUCAGCUUGUGGGAAGAGCAGGACGGCGGGAUCCUGGCGAACUCGGUCGCGUCCAAAGUGCUGACCCUCGAUAAUUGGAGCAUGAGCAAGGAGAGUUUGAGUGGAAUGAAUCUGAGAAGCCUCGACGCCAAGCUCGAUCUCUGCAAAGGCUUGGAACUUCAUCCAGCGCAUGACAGGAGCAACCAGGAAUUAUUGGGAGGUCUUGAUCUGCAGAGCUUCGACGUGAAAACAGCCCCGGAAGCUGCGGGAUUCAGGCUCAACGAGAGGGUGACAAGCAUCACUCGACCAAACAGGCGCUUGUGUUUGCUGGGGAUCGAUGACAACACCACCGGAUCAUCUUUGGAUUCCUCGUUGUCCUUCGACUUGCGAAUCACGACGACACUGGUAGAAAUCCUGGGCUCUUUCAUGUCUCAAGUCAAGAAUUCUUACAUCCAAGCACAGAGCUCGGCGCUAGAUCUCGAGCAUCCCGGCACCGAUUUCUGGGUGACCGCGGUCGCGCUCCCCGGCGCAUUCAUCGCGGUCGUAGCUGCGGCGCAGCCUUUCAUCAACUUCCAGCUCACGUUCUUCCGAAACUUGGUGAGAUCACAGGGCUGGAAAACGGCACUUCUGUGUGUCAGUAACUCCGUGCUCGCUCUCGGCUCGUACUCGGCGAUCAUCACCGUGACUCCAGCCGAGAUCCAGAGGCAGGAGAAACUGAGGACCUGGGGAUUGCUUGCAGACCAGGUUCCAAUCACGAACCGUGGCCUCCAAGUUUUGGUAGUGGUCAAGGGGGAAUCAAGUUACAGAUCGGACAGCCUCUUGCUUGUGUGGUGUUCCACCGCCGUGCUUGUUCCUGUCAUCGCCUGGAUGACGUUUCGCCGGUGCAAACAAGUGUUUUACGUGAGG
rnacentral:lncRNA from 1 species